CCUACGUGAAGCAGCAGUGAGGAAUAUUGGUCAAUGGGCGCGAGCCUGAACCAGCCAAGUAGCGUGAAGGAUGACUGCCCUACGGGUUGUAAACUUCUUUUAUAAAGGAAUAAAGUGAGGCACGUGUGCCUUUUUGUAUGUACUUUAUGAAUAAGGAUCGGCUAACUCCGUGCCAGCAGCCGCGGUAAUACGGAGGAUCCGAGCGUUAUCCGGAUUUAUUGGGUUUAAAGGGAGCGUAGAUGGGUUGUUAAGUCAGUUGUGAAAGUUUGCGGCUCAACCGUAAAAUUGCAAUUGAUACUGUCAGUCUUGAGUACAGUUGAGGUAGGCGGAAUUCGUGGUGUAGCGGUGAAAUGCUUAGAUAUCACGAAGAACUCCGAUUGCGAAGGCAGCUUACUAAACUGCCACUGACAUUGAUGCUCGAAAGUGUGGGUAUCAAACAGGAUUAGAUACCCCGGUAGUC
rnacentral:rRNA from 1 species